AGAGUUUGAUCCUGGCUCAGGAUGAACGCUAGCGGCAGGCCUAAUACAUGCAAGUCGAGGGGCAGCAUAGUAGCAAUACUGAUGGCGACCGGCGCACGGGUGCGUAACGCGUAUGCAACCUACCUUUUACUGGGGGAUAGCCCGGAGAAAUUCGGAUUAACACCGCAUAAUAAGUUUUAUUGGCAUCAAUGAGAUUUUAAAUAUUUAUAGGUAAAAGAUGGGCCUGCGGCUGAUUAGUUAGUUGGCAGUGUAAGAGACUACCAAGACUGUGAUCAGUAGGGGUUCUGAGAGGAAGAUCCCCCACACUGGCACUGAGAUACGGGCCAGACUCCUACGGGAGGCAGCAGUAGGGAAUAUUGGGCAAUGGAGGCAACUCUGACCCAGCCAUGCCGCGUGCAGGAAGAAGGCGCUCAGCGUUGUAAACUGCUUUUGUCCGGGAAGAAUGAUCGCUACGCGUAGCGAGAGUGACGGUACCGGGUGAAUAAGCACCGGCUAACUCCGUGCCAGCAGCCGCGGUAAUACGGAGGGUGCAAGCGUUGUCCGGAUUUAUUGGGUUUAAAGGGUGCGUAGGUGGCUUGUUAAGUCCGGGGUGAAAGGCGGUGGCUCAACCAUCAGCAGUGCCCUGGAUACUGGCAGGCUCGAGUAAGUUUGAGGCCGGUGGAACGGGUGGUGUAGCGGUGAAAUGCAUAGAUACCAUCCAGAACACCGAUUGCGGAGGCAGCCGGCUAAGACUUCACUGACACUGAGGCACGAAAGCGUGGGGAGCAAACAGGAUUAGAUACCCCGGUAGUCC
rnacentral:rRNA from 1 species